ACACCAUAAGUCAGUGGGUAAAGACAUACCAAGAUAAGCACAGGGGCAAUCAAAGAGCUACUUGAACUGCGAGUGAACUAUCCUAAUUAACAUACUAGAAAACCCACCCUUGAGUAGGGAGAGCCCCCUACCAACAGAAGCCCCUUCCUCACAGAACAUGCGCAGUAAAAAAGGAGGACACUGCGACUUUAAGUGGAGAUGAGACUUGCGAGAACCAAUAGGAAUGAGAGUAACUAAGAAAAACUGUAAAAAUACUGAUAACUGUUGCUUGAAAGGUAUAAAAUGCUUUACCGUGUGUUAAUCAGGUGUGCUAGCUUUGUGGAGUUACCACCUAGCACCCAUCUCUGCGCAGACAUGAAAUAAACAAAUAUCUCGGCUCUGUGUGUUAAUUGGCUUUUUUUGCACACCGGGUGAAAGAAUCCUGAUUUUUGGGACAACAUUUUGGCGACCCAGAUGGGACAGCCAUAAGGCCUUGCCCGGAUCGUCUUGUCGUCCCCGACAGCGGACCGGACCGGACUGAGCUCCAGCGCGCACCGACCUAUUGAUCGGGGACUCCUCCGGAUUCCCUCCGAAGCCGGGGCGACAAGCGACUCAAAGGUGCAACGCCAACCAGAGAUAUUUGUAUCAGGGUGAAAGGGGAAUGAAUCCUUGGAUUGUAUGUGGACGAUAUCUUAAUUGGAGCAGAUACAGAACAGACUUGUACAGAAGCCACAGUAAGCCUGCUAAACUUUCUGGGAAUAGCCAGAUUCUGCUGGAUAUGGAUCCCCAAUUUCGGACUUACAACCAAGCCCUUAUACGCAGACACAAAGGGCCUUGUGGGGAGUUGUUAGAAGGGACUCCAGAGUGUCGGAGUAGUUUUGAUGAAAUUAAAAAAAACGAUGGAAGCUCUCCUCAAGAAACUACAUGAAGAAACUCACAUGGGAGCCGAUGCUAUGAUAAGCAGUGUUAAGAGAUACGCCGUAGGGCCAAAAAUGCAGACAAAUGCAGAUAUAAUAGUAAAAAGAUGUCAAAUCUGUUGUGCAAAUAAUCCCAAAAUACAAAGAAAGCCGCCAGCAGGUGACGUAAAAAGAGGAAUAACCCCUAGGGAAUACUGGCAAAUAGAUUUCUCUGAAUUACCAAAAUGUGGACAACAUAAGUAUCUACUUGUUCUAGUGGAUACGUUUUCCGGAUGGCCUGAGACUUUCCCUUGUCGCAACAAUGGGGCUAGGGAAGUAAUUAGGAUAUUACUAAAGGAAAUAACCCCCCAGAUAGCUAGAGUUGGACCAUAUGUCGUUAAAAGGGUUGGACAACAACGACUUUUGUUUAAUCCGUCAUGGUCCCUCAAACGGGUAGAGCUAUCAAUGCAGAUUAAUAUCUCUGCAGUUAAACCAGCCUGUUCACCAUUCGUAAGUGCGUCCUAUACAGGAUGGUUAGCAUGGUUACAUGGGCAGUCUCUUACUCUUCCAAAUCGAGUAAAAAGAAAUGUAACUGGUAUCCUAGGGACAGGAUUGGGAGUCUUAAACAGCAUAGAUAUGAAAUACUUGCAAACAAACUCAGUACAGCCACACAUGAUCUAAAAAAAUUAGAACAUCCAUUGCGAUCCUCCCUGUCAGGUUUAGGAACUCGUCAAUGGCUGUUAUCUGAUAUAUUGCCUCAGCGGGAAAGGGUUAAUGAAAAGGACCACCAAUAAUCAUAGAUGCACUUGGUAUAGUCCAAAAUAAUAUUUCUCUAGCUCUUAGUUGUAUCCAGGCUCAACUGUGGGUGCAAUAUACAAUAGCAGCAAUUGUAAGAGAAGGUGAAGACGGCACCUUACCUACUGAAAUUCGGAAAAUAAUCUGGGAAAAGGCAACUGCAUUUGAAAGAGAAUUCCAAUCAUGGUGGUAUCUGGGCAAUUUCACUCACAAUCCUAU